AUACGGGGGGGGCAAGCGUUGUCCGGAAUCAUUGGGCGUAAAGGGCGCGUAGGCGGAAUAGUAAGUCAGGGGUGAAAAUUCUGAGCUUAACUCAGUACCUGCCCUUGAUACUGCCAUUCUUGAGUGCGAGAGAGGAAAGUGGAAUUCCCGGUGUAGCGGUGAAAUGCGUAGAUAUCGGGAAGAACACCGGUAGCGAAGGCGGCUUUCUGGCUCGCAACUGACGCUGAGGCGCGAAAGCGUGGGGAGCAAACAGGAUUAGAAACCCCGGUAGUCC
rnacentral:rRNA from 1 species